rnacentral:rRNA from 1 species
CCUACGGGCGGCAGCAGUGGGGAAUUUUGGACAAUGGGGGCAACCCUGAUCCAGCCAUGCCGCGUGAGUGAAGAAGGCCUUCGGGUUGUAAAGCUCUUUCGGGAACCGUCCGGUACUUACAGAAGAAGCACCGGCUAACUACGUGCCAGCAGCCGCGGUAAUACGUAGGGUGCGAGCGUUAAUCGGAAUUACUGGGCGUAAAGGGUGCGCAGGCGGUUUCGUAAGCUGGGUGUGAAAGCCCCGGGCUUAACCUGGGAAUGGCAUUCAGGACUGCGAGGCUUGAGUGCGGCAGAGGGAGGUGGAAUUCCACGUGUAGCAGUGAAAUGCGUAGAGAUGUGGAGGAACACCGAUGGCGAAGGCAGCCUCCUGGCCGCACUGACGCUCAUGCACGAAAGCGUGGGGAGCAAACAGGAUUAGAUACCCUUGUAGUC